rnacentral:tRNA from 1 species
GGGAGGGUAGCUCAGUGGUAGAGCACAUGCCUAGCAUGUGUGAAGUUCAGGUUUGAUCCCUAGCCCCA